rnacentral:rRNA from 1 species
CCUACGGGCGGCAGCAGUGAGGAAUAUUGGUCAAUGGACGAGAGUCUGAACCAGCCAAGUAGCGUGAAGGAUGACUGCUCUAUGGGUUGUAAACUUCUUUUAUAAAGGAAUAAAACGAGGCACGUGUGCCUUUUUGAAUGUACUUUAUGAAUAAGGAUCGGCUAACUCCGUGCCAGCAGCCGCGGUAAUACGGAGGAUCCGAGCGUUAUCCGGAUUUAUUGGGUUUAAAGGGAGCGUAGAUGGGUUGUUAAGUCAGUUGUGAAAGUUUGCGGCUCAACCGUAAAAUUGCAAUUGAUACUGGCAGUCUUGAGUACAGUUGAGGUAGGCGGAAUUCGUGGUGUAGCGGUGAAAUGCUUAGAUAUCACGAAGAACCCCGAUUGCGAAGGCAGCUUACUAAACUGUGACUGACAUUGAUGCUCGAAAGUGUGGGUAUCAAACAGGAUUAGAUACCCUUGUAGUC